GGACUACUCGGGUAUCUAAUCCCGUUCGCUACCCUAGCUUUCGCGCCUCAGCGUCAGAAGAGGUCCAGCACGUUGCUUUCGCCAUCGGUGUUCCUUCCGAUAUCAACACAUUUCACCGCUCCACCGGAAGUUCCACAUGCCCCUACCUCACUCGAGCCUGCCAGUAUCAAAGGCACUUUUCCGGUUGAGCCGAAAGAUUUCACCCCUGACUUGGCAAGCCGCCUACGCGCCCUUUAAGCCCAGUGAUUCCGAACAACGUUCGCUCGGUUCGUCUUACCGCGGCUGCUGGCAC
rnacentral:rRNA from 1 species